rnacentral:rRNA from 1 species
ACUCAAAUGAAUAGACGGGGGCCCGCACAAGCGGUGGAGCAUGUGGUUCAAUUCGACGCAACGCGAAGAACCUUACCUGGGCUCGAACGGCUUAAGAUAAUCCUUGGAAACAGGGACUUCUCGCAAGAGACUUGAGUCGAGGUGCUGCAUGGCUGUCGUCAGCUCGUGUCGUGAGAUGUUGGGUUAAGUCCCGCAACGAGCGCAACCCUUGUCCUGUGUUGCCACUCCCGCAAGGGAAGCACUCUCAGGAGACCGCCAGCGAUAAGUUGGAGGAAGGUGGGGAUGAUGUCAAGUCAUCAUGGCCUUUAUGUCCAGGGCUACACACGUGCUACAAUGGCCGGUACAAACCGCUGCAAACCCGCGAGGGGGAGCUAAUCGGAAAAAACCGGUCUCAGUUCGGAUCGCAGGCUGCAACUCGCCUGCGUGAAGCUGGAAUCGCUAGUAAUGCCGUAUCAGAACGAUGGCGUGAAUACGUUCCCGGGCCUUGCACACACCGCCCGU